GCCUGGGUGGCUCAGUCGGUUGAGCGUCUGAUUUCGGCUCAGGUCAAGAUCUCACAGUUCGUGGGUUCGAGUCCUGCAUCGGUCU
rnacentral:tRNA from 1 species